UACAGAGGUCUCAAGCGUUGUUCGGAUUCAUUGGGCGUAAAGGGUGCGUAGGUGGCGUGGUAAGUCGGGUGUGAAAUCUCCACGCUCAACGUGGAGGGGCCACCCGAUACUGCCAUGACUCGAGUCCGGUAGGGGAGUGUGGAAUUCCCGGUGUAGCGGUGAAAUGCGCAGAUAUCGGGAGGAACACCAGUAGCGAAGGCGACACUCUGGGCCGGUACUGACGCUGAGGAGCGAAAGCGUGGGGAGCGAACAGG
rnacentral:rRNA from 1 species